CCUUAGCAACCUGAUGAAUUCUAAAAAUGGUGCUGUGCUGGGGGGAACAUGGAAAUAUAGAAUGUGGCAUUGUGUCAUGCAUAUAAAGUUAUACACAAAUAAACAUUCCUAUGCAUUUUUAAAUGAUAAAAUGGAAAUGCACAACAAAUGUGACAGCGUGGGUGUAUGUCAGGGGAAGAGGAGUGUCUUCAUCCAUUUGCUGCUCCAUAACAAUACCACAGACUGGGUAAUUUAUAAGGGGAGAAUCACUUGAACCCAGGAGGCGGAGGUUGCAGUGAGCUGAGAUCGUGCCAUUGCACUCCAGCCUGGGCAACAAGAACGAGACUCCUUCUCAAAAUAUAUAUAUAUUAUAUAUAUAUAAAGGUGGAGGAGAUGGGAGGGGGUGAAGGAUGAAAAAUUACUUAAUGGGUAUGAUGUACAUUAUUUGGCUGAUGGAUGCUCUAAGAACCCUGACUUCAGCACUAUACAAUCUGUGCA
rnacentral:lncRNA from 1 species